rnacentral:rRNA from 1 species
ACCUGGUUGAUCCUGCCAGUAGUCAUAUGCUUGUCUCAAAGAUUAAGCCAUGCAUGUCUCAGUAUAAGCUUUUAUAUGGCGAAACUGCGAAUGGCUCAUUAAAACAGUUAUAGUCUACUCGAUGGUCGAUCACUACUUGGAUAACCGUGGUAAUUCUAGAGCUAAUACAUGCGUACAGGCCCAACUUCGCGGAAGGGUCGCGUUUAUUAGAUACAGAACCAUCGAAGGCCUGGCCUUCUUCUAUGGUGAUUCAUGAUAACCGAGCGAAGCGCAUGCCUCUGGCGGCGCUGAAUCGAUCGAGUUUCUGACCUAUCAGGCUUUCGACGGUAGGGUAUUGGCCUACCGUGGCUAUGACGGGUAACGGAGAAUUAGGGUUCGAUUCCGGAGAGGGAGCCUGAGAAACGGCUACCACAUCUAAGGAAGGCAGCAGGCGCGCAAAUUACCAAUCCUGACGCAGGGAGGUA